AUUGAACGCUGGCGGCAGGCCUAACACAUGCAAGUCGAGCGGAGCGGCAGACGGGUGAGUAAUGCCUAGGAAUCUGCCUGGGCGUGGUGGAUAACGUCCGGAAACGGGCGCUAAUACCGCAUACUAUCAGAUGAGCCUAGGUCGGAUUAGCUAGUUGGUGGGGUAAAGGUCAACCAGGGCGACGAUCCGUAACUGGUCUGGGAGGAUGAUCAGUCACACUGGAACUGAGACACGGUCCAGACUCCUACGGGAGGCAGCAGUGGGGAAUAUUGGACAAUGGGCGAAAGCCUGAUCCAGCCAUGCCGCGUGUAUGAAGAAGGUCUUCGGGUUGUAAAGCACUUUAAGUUGGGAGGCGUUACCGACAGAAGAAGCACCGGCUAACUCCGUGCCAGCAGCCGCGGUAAUUC
rnacentral:rRNA from 1 species